AGCGAACGUUGGGGGAAGGAAGAACACAUGCAAGUCGAACGAACCUUUCGGGGUUAGUGGCGGACGGGUGAGUAACACGUGGGAACGUGCCUUUAGGUUCGGAAUAACUCAGGGAAACUUGUGCUAAUACCGAAUGUGCCCUUCGGGGGAAAGAUUUAUCGCCUUUAGAGCGGCCCGCGUCUGAUUAGCUAGUUGGUUGAGGUAAUGGCUCACCAAGGCGACGAUCAGUAGCUGGUCUGAGAGGAUGAUCAGCCACAUUGGGACUGAGACACGGCCCAAACUCUUACGGGAGGCAGCAGUGGGGAAUCUUGCGCAAUGGGCGAAAGCCUGACGCAGCCAUGCCGCGUGAAUGAUGAAGGUCUUAGGAUUGUAAAAUUCUUUCACCGGGGACGAUAAUGACGGUACCCGGAGAAGAAGCCCCGGCUAACUUCGUG
rnacentral:rRNA from 1 species